CAAGGGAAACACCUGUUUCAGAGCAGUUCUUACUAUCAGCAUCUUUCCUGGUAUUUGGACAUACAACAACAGCCCUAUACUCUGCAGUCUAAAAAACCUGUCUGUUUUUUGAUGGACCUAGAUGAACGAGGAGAGGCAGGACAUCUCAGAUGAGACCUAUUUUGCCACCUAAGUGGGUGUCCAGAAGAGGAUUCAAAGCACGUGUCUGUCAGUUUGGAGACCCCACCUUCUUCUUCACCAGACUCAGAUCCCUGCCUAAUUGAAGGGCUGGUCGUAUCCUGCUCUAGCACGUGAGCAGGGACAGCAUCACGGGGCUGCAGACACACCACGCAAACAGGCGACAACAGAGGCCUCGAAUACCAAGAGGAACAAGCAAUACUUCGCACAGUAUAUCUCUGCCAAGAAGAGCAGCGAAUAUCUUCAGUUACACUACAGGCCAUGGAGAUUUUCCUGUGCACUCGAGAAGAACUGAAGCUUCUGCUACCAAGAUUUUCUUUCCAGAGUCAAUCAGUGUA